GACGAACGCUGGCGGCGUGCUUAACACAUGCAAGUCGAGCGGUAAGGCCCUUUCGGGGGUACACGAGCGGCGAACGGGUGAGUAACACGUGGGUGACCUGCCCUUAGCUCUGGGAUAAGCCUGGGAAACUGGGUCUAAUACCGGAUAUGACUCCAUAACGCAUGUUGUGGGGUGGAAAGCCUUGUGCGGCUAGGGAUGGGCCCGCGGCCUAUCAGCUUGUUGGUGGGGUGAUGGCCACCAAGGCGACGACGGGUAGCCGGCCUGAGAGGGCGACCGGCCACACUGGGACUGAGACACGGCCCAGACUCCUACGGGGGGCAGC
rnacentral:rRNA from 1 species